rnacentral:misc_RNA from 1 species
UUGGUUUGGGCUCCCGGAUACGCAUGGUGACCUCACCUCAUCCUGUACCUUGCAUUGACUCUUCUUAUGGAAAAGAUAGGCCUAGAGCACUUUCUCGAGGAUGCAUGGCUUCAGAAGGACAUGGUUUUAGAGUUCCUGGAAGUUAUGUCAAGAGGAUUGCCUGUGGAGGGCGACAUAGUGCAGUAAUCACAGAUGCUGGAGCACUCCUCACUUUUGGCUGGGGACUCUAUGGACAGUGUGGACAAGGGAGUACAGAUGAUGAACUGAGCCCAAUUUCUGUAUCUUCAUUGUUGGGCAUGCGGAUAGAGGGUGUUGCUGCAGGCUUGUGGCACACUGUUUGCAUUUCUGCUGAUGGUGAUGUUUAUGCAUUUGGUGGGAAUCAGUUUGGGCAAUUGGGUACUGGUGGUGAUCAAGCAGAGACUACACCCAGGCUCUUGGAUGCUCCAUGUUUGGAAGAUGCACAUGCAAAAACAAUCUCCUGUGGGGCUCGUCACACUGCUUUAGUCACAGGUAUGCAAACCAUAUUCAAAAAACCUUCCAUAUCUAUACAUUUUGCGAUGUUGUUCCCAUAUAUAUGUCAUUUUAGUGCACAUUUGACCUCUACUUAAU